AAGAAUGAAAAGUAAGGCAAGAACUUUCAGCUGUUCCUUCCAGCUAUUUCAGCGGUCAACUUGACCCGAGCAAAGUUCUCCAGAGUAGCUGAUUCAUAUUCUACUGAUCACUAUCAUGUACAGGUUUGUGCUCGUGCCAACUCUUCUGUGAAUCUUUGUAAAAUUUUGGUUACAUUGGAUCCACAGAAAGGUUUUCAAAAAGACUGCAUUUCACUGAUUGUAAUGGAAAUAUGAAACUGGUCAAACAGAUUACACGUGCUGCGGUUUUAAUACAACAAUGUGUUUCGAUAAUC